CUCUCUGUUUCUGUGAUGUACUGUAUGGUCUGUAGUGAGUACUGCUGAUCCUCUCUUCUGUUUCUAGGUGAUGUACUGUAUGAGCUCCUCUCUCGUUUCUAGGUGAUGUACUGUAUGAGCCUCCUCUCUCUGUUUCUAGGUGAUGUACUGUAUGAGCUCCUCUCUCUCUGUUUCUAGGUGAUGUACUGUAUGAGCUCCUCUCUCUGUUUCUAGGUGAUGUACUGUAUGAGCUCUCUCUCUGUUUCUAGGGAUGUUUACUGUAUGAGCUCCUCUUCUUUUUCUUAGGCUGUGUACGUAUGAAGCUCUCUCUCUCUGUUUCUAGGUGAUGUACUGUAUGAGUCUCUCUCUGUUUCUAGGUGAUGUACUGUAUGAGCUCCUCUCUCUGUUUCUAGGUGAUGUACUGUAUGAGCUCCUCUCUCUGUUUCUAGGUGAUGUACUGUAUGAGCUCCUCUCUCUGAUUCUAGGUGAUGUACUGUAUGAGCUCCUCUCUCUCUGUUUCUAGGUGAUGUACUGUAUGAGUUCCUCUCUCUGUUUUACGUGAUUUUUGUACUGUAUGAGUCCUCUCUCUGUUUCUAGGUGAUGUA
rnacentral:lncRNA from 1 species